AACGCACGAGACCUGCGGACCUGCGGAAGGAUCAUUACAGGACUCGCAAGACUCCUACAACCCUGUGAACUUAACUAUAAGCACGUUGCUUCGGCGGGUGUCUCGGCGAGGGUCCUCCCUCCCCGGGGCGCUAAGCCCGCCGGCAGCCUACUAUACUCUGUCUCUUUGCGUUGGCAUCUCGAGUACAAACAAACAAGUUAAAACUUUCAACAAUGGAUCUCUAGAUCGGAAGAGCACACG
rnacentral:misc_RNA from 1 species